CGGUGAUCCACAAUGCCGCGGUGUGUGAAGAAGGCCUUCGGGUUGUAAAGCACUUUUGUCCGGAAAGAAAUCCUUGGCUCUAAUACAGUACGGGGGAUGACNGUACCGGUAAGAAUAAGCACCGGCUAACUACGUGCCAGCAGCCGCGGUAAUACUGUACGGUGCGAGCGUUAAUCGGAAUUACUGGGCUUAAAGCGUGCKCAGGCGGUUUGCUAAGACCGAUGUGAAAUCCCCGGGCUCAACCUGGGAACUGCAUUGGUGACUGGCAGGCUAGAGUAUGGCAGAGGGGGGUAGAAUUCCACGUGUAGCAGUGAAAUGCGUAGAGAUGUGGAGGAAUACCGAUGGCGAAGGCAGCCCCCUGGGCCAAUACUGACGCUCAUGCACAAAGCCNGGGGAGCAAACAGGAUUAGAUACCCUGGUAGUCCACGCCCUAAACGAUGUCAACUAGUUGUUGGGGAUUCAUUUCCUAGUAACGAGCUAACGCGUAAGUUACCGCCGGANCACCGA
rnacentral:rRNA from 1 species